GAUGAACGCUGGCGGCGUGCCUAAUACAUGCAAGUCGAGCGGAAAGACGAGGGGCUUGCUCCUUUGACGUUGGCGGCGGGCGGGUGGGUAACACGUGGGUAACCUACCUAUCCGACUGGGAUAACUUACGGAAACCGGAGCUAAUACAGGCUGAUUUUUUGAAACGCAUGGCUCCAUAGUGAAAGACGGGUUUUCUGUCACUUAGAGGUGGAUCCGCGCCGCAUUAGCUAGUUGGUAAGGUAACGGCUUACCAAGGCAACGAUGCGUAGGCGACCGGAGAGGGUGAUCGGCCACACUGGAACGGAGACACGAUCCAGACUACUACGGGAGGCAGCAGUAGGGAAUCUUACGCAAUGGGAGGAAGCUAGGCGGAGCAACGCCGCGUGAGUGAUGAAGGUCUUCCGAUCGUAAUACUCUGCUAUUAGGGAAGAACAAAUGUGUAAGUAACGAGGCACGUCUUGACGGUACCUAAUCAGAAAGCCCCGGCUAACUACGUG
rnacentral:rRNA from 1 species